UGCACGCGCGGAGGCGCCCUGGAGCUGUAGCUAGGGGGUCACCGUGCAAAAUAAGUGAUUGCUAUCUUUAUUUCUCUAUGGCGUGAGUACCGGUGGCGCCUCCUGACGAUACCGGUAAGCCUAUCGCAAACCUGUGGGCGUAGGCCGGCUGCUUCUUUUUUUGACCGUACGCGUGGUUUGUUAGUGCUCAGCGGCCAAAUGAAGCGAUUCGAGACGUGGAAAGCCUGGCAGCCACGCAGAAUCUAACAUACUCUACGAAGCUUCCCACUUCUCAGCAGUGACGCAGUCUGUCUCGGUUGCCAGCGGGUGGUAACGCGGAGGAUCACACUAUUUUCUCGCUCAGUCGAUCCGUGCUAACCGUCAUUGAACACAAAGGUUCGAGAGCCAAGUCGAACAAGAGUGCCCCUACCUUGGCGCCGGUCGUCGACUCGGGCUUCCGCAAAUGCCAAGGCUGCGUACGCUCAGCCUGCCAACGGACGGGACGCUCGCCGGGGGAGUCCGGAAAAGCCUUGAGAAUGGACCUUCGCUGCAAGGCACGGCUGCUGCACACCCGGGCUACGCCUGCGACCAAACUGUUGAAGGCUCCCCUACCCGCGAGGUGCAAGUCAAAUCAGAGAGGCUGCCACCACAGUCUGAGAGGGAGCGAGGAGGCAUGUAUGAAUGGCCCACUUCGGAAUGAUUGUCCUUGCAGACACUCGCCAGACAGCGCCAUCGCGGAAACGUAACCGCUUCUGCGUUACUCGUACCUUGCCUCCCGCCAACACUGUAGGCGGCUCUGAGCAGGGGAAAAGCGAAGAAACUAACCCCUCCCUGAAAACGUAUCAGGGAGGGGUAUUGGAGACUCCGUACAAGAUAGAAGAAGAGAAUUUCAAGCGGACGCAAGGCAAGACUGGUGGGCUCCGCAUCCACGACCUCGACCCACAGCGUGAGGCGGGCAGUGUCGUGUACCGCCUGUGCGACGGCAGCAGUUGCCCUUCCGCAUUUACGUUCAGGACGUUUACGUGCACGGAUGCGUAGACCACCGCCGUUCCUCUACGUGGCGGCGGAUGUGGAGCUUCCGGCUAGACCAUUGCAGUGACGAGUGUAAACGGCAUGCUCGAAGCUGCAGGGGCAAAAGAUAUGGACUCCCGCCUUUUCCUGCGCCUAGACCAGCAGGUCCGAUGAGCUCUAUCAAUAAAGGCCAGACGAACGG